rnacentral:rRNA from 1 species
UACGUAGGUGGCGAGCGUUGUCCGGAAUUACUGGGUGUAAAGGGCGUGUAGGCGGGGAUGCAAGUCAGAUGUGAAAUACCACGGCUCAACUGUGGGGGUGCAUCUGAAACUGUAUCUCUUGAGUGCUGGAGAGGAAAGCGGAAUUCCUAGUGUAGCGGUGAAAUGCGUAGAUAUUAGGAGGAACACCAGUGGCGAAGGCGGCUUUCUGGACAGUAACUGACGCUGAGGCG